rnacentral:rRNA from 1 species
CCCUAANCCUCAGUAGUUAAAACAACAAAACYACUCGCCAGAAUACUACAAGCAACAGCUUGAAACUCAAAGGACUUGGCGGUGCUUCACAUCCCCCUAGAGGAGCCUGUYCCAUAAUCGAUAAACCCCGAUCUACCCCACCCUCUCUUGCUCAGCCUAUAUACCGCCAUCUUCAGCAAACCCUGAUAAAGGUUACAAAGUGAGCGCAAAUGCCUAUCUUCGCAAAAACGUUAGGUCAAGGUGUAGCCCAUGAGAUGGUAAAAGAUGGGCUACAUUUUCUAUCUCAGAAAACCCUACGAUAACUCUCAUGAAACCUAAGAGUCCAAGGAGGAUUUAGCAGUAAAUUAAGARUAGAGUGCUUAAUUGAACUAGGCCAUAAAGCACGC